GUAGUCGUGGCCGAGUGGUUAAGGCGACAGCCUCGAAAUCUGUUGGGACAUUCCCGCGCAGGUUCAAAUCCUGCCGACUACG
rnacentral:tRNA from 1 species